rnacentral:rRNA from 1 species
CAAUAGCGUAUAUUAAAGUUGUUGCGGUUAAAAAGCUCGUAGUUGGAUUUCUGCUUGGGACGACCGGUCCGCCCUCCGGGUGAGCAUCUGGUUCGGCCCGGGCAUCCUCUUGGGGAACGUUGCUGCACUUGACUGUGUGGUGCGGUACCCAGGACUUUUACUUUGAGGAAAUUAGAGUGUUUCAAGCAGGCCUUUGCCUUGAAUACAUUAGCAUGGAAUAAUAAGAUAGGACCUCGUCCCUACCUUGUUGGUUCGUAGAGAUGGGGUAAUGAUUAAUAGGGAUAGUCGGGGGCAUUCGUACUUAACUGUCAGAGGUGAAAUUCUUGGAUUUGUUAAAGACGAACUACUGCGAAAGCAUUUGCCAAGGAUGUUUUCAUUGAUCAAGAACGAAAGUUAGGGGAUCGAAGACGAUUAGAUACCGU